GACCAGUGAUGAAAAUAGCCAAAUCCGAGCACCAGAUGAGCUUCAAGUCUACCUGAUGAGUAAUCUCUGAGUUCUGAAA
ensembl:snoRNA